AGGACUGUCCAACCUGAGAAUGCUUGAGUUUUGGUCAAUCUCAGGUUCGUCAGCCCAUGA
ensembl:miRNA